ensembl:lncRNA
CUUGGAACCACUGCUCUUGCAACGGGCGCUUCUGCGUUCCCAGAGCAUUCCAACUCGCUCCUGAGCUUUGCAGGCACACCUUAACCACAUGCAUUUGUACAGGCAGUCACAGGUUCUUCAGCGGAUGCGUGGCUGCCUGGCACCUCCAUCGUGACUUGUAGGGCACGUGGAGGUGCUGUGUCUGCUGCUCUGAGGGCACCUGGCCAAGGGAUGGGCUGAUGCAGGCACCCUGCAGCUCAUUGGGGUGCACGGGGGGAACGGCAGGAACAGUGGUGGGAGGGGAUAGGUAGAAGAGGGUUUGCCACCACCUGAAUUUGCAAAGGGGAAAGUGGCAGCCGUGUCUCCCACCCUGGGCACAGAGCCCACGUCCCCAGGCACCAGGUGGGCCCCAGCAGCCAAGCAGGAGCAGCGCUGGGCUGCAGCAGCUGCACUGCUGUUGCUCUUUACCUCCGUUAACAUUAGUCAUCGUGAGAGCAAACGUUGCUUCCUGGUAAAUAAAAAGGCGCUGGUGCAGCUGCUGUGUUUGAUUUUAUAGUCAGGGAUAGUCAUUGUCACACAGGUGGAGAAGGAAGGAGGAAGGACGCCAAGAGGACGACGCACACCUCUACAAGGUGCGUGGCCAGAGUGAUUGAUUGAAAGCAGGCCAGGAGAAGCCAGAAUGAAAAACCCACUGUGGGUAUGGAACAAACUCCAGUACGGGGAGGCAGGUGCUGAUUAGAGACCAUAAACACCUGAAGCGAAAUCACAGGGUGAGUUGAGGCGAUGGAACACGCAUCGCUCUUAGGAACCGUACGGGAAGGUGAACUGCAAAGAACUGCAGGCCGACAGGAGACUACUCCCAGCACCAGAUGACUACAGAGGGGCCUUUCCACACCGCCUUUGCUAUUCAGUGAGGUCUGGGGAGUAUUUCUUAAGCCAGCGUUUACACAGCACAAGGAUCUUGGUGCAGUUCAGCUUUGCUUCGCUUCUGACUGCUGAUAACCAUGGCAAGACCUAAGCCAGGAAAAGGCUAAGAGAUAGCACAGGCGCUUGGUUUUGUUAAGGGAAAUUUAUGAUAUUUUGACAGAGUGACUGUUUUGAGAUACAGAAGUACAGCACGAGCGUUUCUUGCAUGAAACCAUGACAUUUGCCCAGUGAGAGUUGGUGUCUCUGGAUGCAGCACCUAUGCUCAGAUGUCUGCGGAGCAGCUGUCUUCGUGUGAGAAACAAAUUUAGACUCUAAUGUUGUUGAUGGAGACCCAACCAGUGGAGCCGAGAUCUUCUGGAGUCUCAGAAAAGGACUACAUAGUCACAGAAAUGCUGCUGGGAUGGGACUGCUGGAGAUCACCUGGUCCAAAGGACACUUGAAGUAGGAGUACCACCUAUAUUACAACAGUAGGUCAGCUGGGGCUUUAUCUAGCCAAGCUGUGAAGCCCCCAAGAAAGGACCCUUCACCACCUCUCUGUGGGACCUGUCCUUGUGCCGUACAACCCUCCCAGCGGAGAAGGAUUUCCUAAUGUGCAGCCUGAACCUCCCCAUCUGCCAUGUGUGGCCCCUUGUUACAUCCUCCGGCACCACCAAGAAGAGUGUGGCCCUGCUCUCUUUGGAUCUGCCCCUCAGGCAGCCCCAGACUGCUGCCGGACCACCCUUUGGGCUCCUCUUCACCACACAGAACAGGGCUGGAUCCUUCCAGGAGCUGUGCUCCGGGACAUGGACUGUGGUGACAGACCUCAAGUGUGGAAACCUUCCAGGUUUUCCACAUCCCCCUUGAAGUGAAGAUCCCAAAGCAGGGUGCUGUGCUGCAGCUGAGGACAUACCAGUGCCAGGGGAGGGGAAGUGCAUGGUGCCAGCUCCUUGAGCCACAGCCAUGCUUAGUAGGCCAAUGCAUGGUGCCCACCACCACGCCACCGCCGCUGGCCAUCAGAGGGGUUCUAACUGGUUGAUAUAAACUAGGAGAAACAGGGCGGUGUCAGUUACAGCUGAAGCUUGGGUGUCAAAGCACCGCAGCACUCUCUCCUAAGGACGUUCAUGCCAUUAGCCAUACCUACUCAGUAAACCAGAGCAGCACCCAACUUAUAUUCUCUUGUUUCUCGAGUUCACGUUACAAUGUAAGACUUAGCAAAACACAGUUUUAUAUGCUAAUUUCCUUACAGUAAAACCCUUACUGUAUGUCGUUCAUUGAUAUCAAGCAGCGUACAUGCAAGAGUAGACUAAUAUUAUGUAUAUAUUAACAAUUUUAUGGGUUCAAGAAUUACAGCGUGCUUGCUUUAUUUAGGUGGUAAACUUUUUUAAUGAGUCUGGAGGGUGCUUUACAUAAAAGUAGUGACUCUAUCUUGAAAUCUCCUUCCAUGUUUAUUAGAAAUGUGUUUCACUUUACCACGCAAAAAGCCAAGGAAACAUGCAGCCUUAAAGUCUAAUGAAGUAGUUACUCGUGCAGUCAAAGUUCAUAAAUUUUAAAUACAUUUAAUUUAUAAAUUGAAAACAUAGCUUGCACUGGCUUGUUCAAGAUUAUUACUUUCCACAGGGGUCUCAGGAUAGUUGUUGGGUCGAGCUUGUUGCCUCUUUUCUUUCAAAACUGAGGCUAGAUCGUCACGAUUCACACACAUUCGCUCUGAUGCUUUCCAAGAAUAAAAUAAAAUGUAAAAAGUCAGUUAUCUAGAAUAUUAAAAAUUGUAACCCAGCCUGUAGCCUCUUUGUUCUCAACUCAGAUAAGAUUUGCUUUGGAGCUGAC